AGCCUGGUUUAUAGGUGUGUAAUA
rnacentral:siRNA from 1 species